rnacentral:misc_RNA from 1 species
GAUGAAGAACGUAGCGAAAUGCGAUAAGUAAUGUGAAUUGCAGAAUCCAGUGAAUCAUCGAAUCUUUGAACGCACAUUGCGCCCGCCAGCAUUCUGGCGGGCAUGCCUGUCCGAGCGUCAUUUCAACCCUCAAGCACUGCUUGGCGUUGGGGCGCUACGCGCUGAGCGUAGGCCCCUAAAAUCAGUGGCGGACCCGCUGUGGCUCCGGGCGUAGUAGCAACGCCUCGCCCUGGGACCGCGGCGCGUUCCGGCCGUUAAACCCCCCACUAUAUCGAAGGUUGACCUCGGAUCAGGUAGGAAUACCCGCUGAACUUAAGCAUAUCAAUAAGCGGAGGA